GACGAACGCUGGCGGCGUGCUUAACACAUGCAAGUCGAACGGAAAGGCCCUGCUUUUGUGGGGUGCUCGAGUGGCGAACGGGUGAGUAACACGUGAGUAACCUGCCCUUGACUUUGGGAUAACUUCAGGAAACUGGGGCUAAUACCGGAUAGGAGCUCCUGCUGCAUGGUGGGGGUUGGAAAGUUUCGGCGGUUGGGGAUGGACUCGCGGCUUAUCAGCUUGUUGGUGGGGUAGUGGCUUACCAAGGCUUUGAAGGGUAGCCGGCCUGAGAGGGUGAACGGGGACCAUGCGACUGCGGUACGGAGCAGAGGGCAAUGGGAGGCAGCAGUCGAGAAUAUUGCACAAUGGGCGGAAGCCUGAUGCAGAAACGCUGGGUUCGGGAAGACGGUUUACGGGGUGUAAACCGCUUUAGCUUGUGACGAAGCGUGAGUGACGGUAACGGGUAAAGAAGCACCGGCUAACUACGUG
rnacentral:rRNA from 1 species